GAUGAACGCUAGCGGCAGGCCUAACACAUGCAAGUCGAGGGGUAGAACACUUCGGUGUUUGAGACCAGCGCACGGGUGCGUAACGCGUAUGCAAUCUACCUUGUACAGGGGAAUAGCCCAGAGAAAUUUGGAUUAAUGCCCCAUAGUAUAUAACCUUCGCAUGUUGGUUAUAUUAAAGUUCCAACGGUACAAGAUAAGCAUGCGUCCCAUUAGUUAGUUGGUAAGGUAACGGCUUACCAAGACGAUGAUGGGUAGGGGUCCUGAGAGGGAGAUCCCCCACACUGGUACUGAGACACGGACCAGACUCCUACGGGAGGCAGCAGUGAGGAAUAUUGGUCAAUGGGCGCAAGCCUGAACCAGCCAUGCCGCGUGCAGGAAGACGGUCCUAUGGAUUGUAAACUGCUUUUAUACAGAAAGAAACCCUCCCACGUGUGGGAGAUUGACGGUACUGUAGGAAUAAGGAUCGGCUAACUCCGUGCCAGCCGCCGCUGUAACAC
rnacentral:rRNA from 1 species